CGCCGAAACACCCGUUAUCGGGUGUCUGCGCAGGUCUGGCCGCUGCGCACUGAUGAAGGCAGGCCACC
rnacentral:hammerhead_ribozyme from 1 species